AAACGAUAUAGAUUUGAAUUGUCUAAGAAUAGCCUAUCUGAAACAAAUACUGUCCCACAAUUCCUUACUCAGGCCUUUGUUACAUUAUUACAUCUCCUUUUCUUCUUUUUUAAUGUGCACAAUAACUCGAGAUUAUUAUAAUGAAUGUUUAAAAGUAUGAUUCAUUGCUAUGAGGAAACAAUGUUCUUUGUGAGUGUCUCGUGCACAUUAGAGGUAAGACAAAGAACAUUUACUGGAACUCUGCCAGUGCUGGCAGUACAAAAGCAGUGCUGCAGGGAGUCCUGUUGCUUCACAUGAGAUGUAUAUGAGCCAAAGAAGACGUGGCAAGGUUUGAAUUUGAGUUAUGGCGGGUCAAACCCUAUUGUUUUUGCUGCUUUUGGUGAUUAUAGGCCAUGUGAGUCCUCAGACAACAAGU
ensembl:lncRNA